GAUGAACGCUAGCGGCAGGCUUAAUACAUGCAAGUCGAGGGGCAGCAGGACUGUAGCAAUACAGUUGCUGGCGACCGGCAAACGGGUGCGGAACACGUACGCAAUCUACCCAAAACUGAUGAAUAGCCCUCCGAAAGGAGGAUUAAUACAUCGUAACUUAAGGAAGUGGCAUCACUAUCUUAAUAUAGCUCCGGCGGUUUUGGAUGAGCGUGCGCCUGAUUAGGUAGUUGGCGGGGUAACGGCCCACCAAGCCUGCGAUCAGUAACUGGUGUGAGAGCACGACCAGUCACACGGGCACUGAGACACGGGCCCGACUCCUACGGGAGGCAGCAAGUAAGGAAUAUUGGUCAAUGGACGCAAGUCUGAACCAGCCAUGCCGCGUGAAGGAUGAAGGUCCUC
rnacentral:rRNA from 1 species